GACGAACGCUGGCGGCGUGCCUAACACAUGCAAGUCGAGCGAACCCUUCGGGGUGAGCGGCGGACGGGUGAGUAACGCGUGGGUAACCUGCCCUAUACACACGGAUAACGUACCGAAAGGUACGCUAAUACGGGAUAAAGUUGUUGGAUGGCAUCUUCUAACAAUCAAAGCUCCGGCGGUAUAGGAUGGACCCGCGUCUGAUUAGCUAGUUGGUGAGGUAAUGGCUCACCAAGGAGACGAUCAGUAGCCGACCUGAGAGGGUGAUCGGACACCCUGGAACUGAAUCACGGUCCAGACUCCUACGGGAGUCAGCAGUGGGGAAUAUUGCACCAUGGGCGAAAGCCUGAUGCAGCAACGCCGCGUGAGCGAUGAAGGUCUUCGGAUCGUAAAGCUCUGUCCUCAAGGAAGAUAAUGACGGUACUUGAGGAGGAAGCCCCGGCUAACUACGUGCCAGCCGCCGCAGUAA
rnacentral:rRNA from 1 species